rnacentral:lncRNA from 1 species
CGAAGAUUAUUUUUCGUAAAAAACCUUCAUGCUGAUUUUUACGGACUUUCAGACAUUGAUUCCGUCGUGGCCGAUUUUGACCCCAACAGAAAACACGUUUUUGAAAUUUUGGCGGGAAAAUGCGUUUUUGGGGUUUUGGCGUGAAAAAAGUAGUUUUCAGGUUUUCGCGGAAAAACGUGUUUUUGUUGUUUUGUCAGUUUUCGUAUGUGACAAAAAUGAUAUUAUGUUUAGGUUUGUAAUUUGUGAAUUAUACUAGGGGCAUAAUAAAUAUUAUACCAUGAGGAAAAGACUAGGAUAGCACCAAACCAAGUUUUUGUUCCAAACUAGCACUCAAGACUAAAAAUCACAAAAAUAAGUUUUAUUAAAGAGAUAAAUAUACACUUAUACCCCUUGUGUUAAUUAAUCCAAGAGAAAAAAACUAGGAUAGCACCAAACCAAGUUUUUGUUCCCAAACUAGCACUCAAGGCUCAAA